ACGAAUAUGUUCGCCACCACAGAAACAUAACUAAAUAUAUUGUAUUUUUAUGAUUUAUGACAAAACUACGCAAAUAUUUAUUGUUUUUAAUAUAAGUCAUAAAAAUAGAAUAAAUACAAUAUAUUUAGUUAUGUUUCUGUGGUGGCGAACAUAUUCGU